rnacentral:misc_RNA from 1 species
AAGUCGUAACAAGGUUUCCGUAGGUGAACCUGCGGAAGGAUCAUUAGAGAAAUCUAUAUGAAUGAAGUUAGAGGACGUCUAAAGAUACUGUAAGAGAGGAUCUGGUUCAAGACCAGCGCUUAAUUGCGCGGUUGCGGCUUGGUUCGCCUUUUGCGGAACAUGUCUUUUCUCGUUGUUAACUCUACUUCAACUUCUACAACACUGUGGAGUUUUCUACACAACUUUUCUUCUUUGGGAAGAUACGUCUUGUGCGUGCUUCCCAGAGGUGACAAACACAAACAACUUUUUAUUAUUAUAAACCAGUCAAAACCAAUUUCGUUAUGAAAUUAAAAAUAUUUAAAACUUUCAACAACGGAUCUCUUGGUUCUC